rnacentral:tRNA from 4 species
GCCAGAAUAGCUCAGUUGGUAGAGCGGCGGUAUCGUAAACCGUAGGUCCUGGGUUCGACUCCCAGUUCUGGCUCAA